rnacentral:rRNA from 1 species
GACGAACGCUGGCGGCGUGCUUAACACAUGCAAGUCGAACGGAAAGGCCCCUCUGGGGGUACUCGAGUGGCGAACGGGUGAGUAACACGUGAGUAACCUGCCCUUGACUUCGGGAUAACUUCAGGAAACUGGGGCUAAUACCGGAUAGGAAUCCUUGCUGCAUGGUGGGGGUUGGAAAGCUUCGGCGGUUUUGGAUGGACUCGCGGCCUAUCAGCUUGUUGGUGGGGUAGUGGCUUACCAAGGCUUUGACGGGUAGCCGGCCUGAGAGGGCGACCGGCCACAUUGGGACUGAGAUACGGCCCAGACUCCUACGGGAGGCAGCAGUGGGGAAGAUUGCACAAGGGGCGGAAGCCUGAUGCAGCAACGCCGCGGGCGGGAGGACGGCCUUCGGGUUGGAAACCGCUUUCAGCAGGGGCGAAGCUUGUGGUGACGGUACCUGCAGAAGAAGCACCGGCUAACUACGUG